rnacentral:rRNA from 1 species
UACGUAGGGUGCAAGCGUUAAUCGGAAUUACUGGGCGUAAAGCGUGCGCAGGCGGUGAUGUAAGACAGAUGUGAAAUCCCCGGGCUCAACCUGGGAAUGGCAGUGGAAACUGGCGAGCUGGAGUGUGGCAGAGGGGGGUGGAAUUCCGCGUGUAGCAGUGAAAUGCGUAGAGAUGCGGAGGAACACCGAUGGCGAAGGCAGCCCCCUGGGCUGACACUGACGCUCAGGCACGAAAGCGUGGGGAGCAAACAGG